GAAACAAUGGAUCUCAGCUCCAUAAAGACUGAAAAUGGCAAAGUCUCCUGUGAGACUCCAGAGGGAACUGUGGUAAACGUUACUAUUAACCAGAGUUCUGCCUUGGAUUGUUUGUUGGAUACUUUCCGGUUCUUCCGGGACAUGAAGAGAAGUGGGCAAAAGACCAAGCCCUCCCGUAUGUCUGGUUCUGCAGCCCACUUUGGGUUUGGGGUUGCCUAUAUUUCCCUGGGUUUGGUGUCUGUCAUGUUGGCCAUUAUUUUCAGCAUUACACAGCCGGACUUGAGAAUCUUCUAUUCAGGGGUCCACUUCUGGGUAGGCGUUAUCUGUUCCUUGUGUCUGGACUACUGAAUCUUGUGGCUUACAGGUUUCCAAACAUAUGGUGGAGGACACUUGCCUUCAUUUCCCUUUUAGUCAACUUUGGUGUGUCUAUUGGGGGAAUGGUAGUUACAGUUGAUGAUACUCAUCGUUUCUACUGGAUGGAACCUGAUGAACGAGCCUGUUAUAAUCUUGUUAAUGGACGUGGAUAUUACAGAGCAACAAGCGGCUACAAUGAUUAUGAGCUGCAGAGAUGCCUAGAUGGAAUCCGAAAAUACAAGUUUCUAAUAAAAUGCUUGACAUAUAUGACCUUUGUGAUAAUAAUCUGGGGUCUCUGAAA